rnacentral:lncRNA from 1 species
CUAUCAACUUAAAGUUUCAUUUCACUCUGGAUAGGCCUCAAUAAUAGACUGUAACGCUGGAAUUUUGAUGAUCUGGUAGCGAGGGAAGCCUCCUUCUUCCAAUAAUUUCUUCCACUCAAGCUCAGUCCUCUCUUUCCCGCCCGGCGUGUUAACCAUCAUUACUAAAUCAAAUGCAUAACCGGCGUCAUCAAACAGGCCUUGACCAUCGGGUUGUAAAACAACAUCAAUAAUUAUCACUUUUCCAGUUUUUUCCGGUAUUGCUUCCCGACAAUUCUUCAAAAUCUUUACGCAAGCGUCAUCGCUCCAAUUGUGGAGCACCCACUGAACAAUAUUAAUUGCAAUGAAUUAAUUAUAUAACAAAGUAAAAAUGUUGCAAAGUAUAUACGUACAUACAUAUAUCCAUCUAUACAUAUAUGUGUGUGUAUAAUCAUUUUCAGGUGCAGGCACUUUUUUUUAAUGUGGACACGCUCUUAAAUCAUGCCGUUCAAGAGAAUUAAAAGCUAACUCUAUAAACUCCAUAUUUUAAAAUUGUGUUUGUGUGGAAAAAAAAAUGAGGGGUCUGCGCUAGAGAAAGACUAUAUAUAUAUAUAUAUAUAAAUUUUCCAAUCUAAGAUUUUAAAGUACGGGAAAACUGUAAAACCCUACGGUUUAGAGUAUUAAUUUCAUAAUACUUUAAAACCAUACAAUUUUAAAAUUUUCUCGGACUUUCAUGCACUUUAAAAUUUCAGACCAAUGCGAGCGCCCUCAUUUUUUCUAAUGUGGACAUACUAUUAAACUGUGUGAUUUUAUAAUAUUAAAAACUAAUUGUAUUAAACUACAGGGCUUAACAGUGCGUUGAAUGAAAAAAAAAAUGAGGGUGUCCACACAAGAGAAAUAAUAUGUGUGUGCGUGUGUAAAUUCUCAUGUGUAGGUGCCUUCAUUUUUUUAUAUGGAUAUAAUAUUAAGUGUAAUGUCUUUAUAGUUAAAUUGAAUAUUAACUGUCCGCAUGAAAAAAAAAAAAUUCAAGGACUAUAUCUAUAUCAUAUAUAGUGAUGAUUUAAUCCGGAAUGAAUUGAAAAUGAUGUGAAAAUAUUGUUAUAUUAUUGUAUACUCUUUGACAACAUUGUAAAAAAAUUAAUUACCUUCAAGAGAAGUGCAUCAGCGUUAGGAAUGGCGUGAAACAUGUCACCCGAAACAUGUGUGACUCCAUCAUAGACUGGUGCUGUGGUGAUGACAUGUGGCAAAUCAAAGUUGAUUCCUUUGAUGUUUGGAUAUGAUUUCACAAUCUCAGAUAUCAACCCUCCAAUCCCGCCAGCCACAUCGACUAGUGAUUUCAACGAAUCAAAUCCAUGUUUAUAACUUCCUAAUAUUUCCCUUGUUAAGAACUUGGAAUUACAAGCCAUGCCCUCAUUGAAGAUGCUGUUGAACUGUUGAUCUUUCGAUGCUAAAUCGAUAACCACACCGCCAAAGGCCUUUUCAAUAGCACUACCACCUUCUUUGACACACUGGCUCAUGAAAUGCCAAGAGUUGACUAUGUAUGGAUGGUUCUCCACUAAGUAAACGGACCCCAGCUGGUUUGAAUCAGAGCCAGUGACAAGCCAUCUUGACGAGUGGGUCAGCCCGUAGAGAGGUUCUCCACCGUCUGAUGGAUGGUGUGCGGCGAAGAUGUUUUUACGGCCUAACAAUCUCAUGAUGCGUUCGAGGUAGGAGAUUUCAGGGGAGGGAGAGUCAAUGCAUGAAGCUAUUUGGGAUAAAGUGAUAGGGCCACCAUGAGAGUGAAUGAUGUCUGGGAUUCGAAGCUCAAUGGCACACUUCAAAGCCAGAGAAUCUAUAAAAGCAAACAUAUGUUUCCAUAUUUCUGCUUGGCCUCUUAGUGAUGCUUCACCUUCUACUGAUUCCAUUUCUAUCUUUUUGACUCUAUUUGGUGAAGAUAGAUAGGAAGAUUUAGAUUAAUAUAUGUGUGUGUUGUUGUGCGCGGAAUGCGGAAUCAAGCGCACCAAAUAAUUACUGAAAAAUAAAGGACACAAGAAUUUACGUGGUUCGGUAAUUAAACCUACAUCCACGGAGGCAAGAAAGAAUAAUUGUUUAUUUAACAAUUAAUAGAGUACAAUAUUUGAGUAGCGAAUCUCACUUCCCAUAAACCCAAAUAUACUCAGUACUCUCACACUCUGCAGGAAAGAUAAAUUCCCUAUACACACUUCUCUCACUUCUCUCAAAAGCUUAGAAACUUAUAAGCUUAACAAUUUUGGGAUGAUCUAGAAUGGAAGAAGCGCCAUCUAUUUAUAGGGAAAAUAAUGGCACUAUUGCACCAACCCCUUUACUAUUCCGCCUAACCUAAGCCAAUAGUCAAUGGUGUCCAUUUGGCAAAUUUGACAAAUUUGACAACUUUCCAUUUUUUCUUCAAAUGUUUGGUAGCCAUUUGAAAUUUUGCAUUCAUUUUUGAAUUUCAAUGUCACGUGCAUGACUUUUCAACAUGUGUGUCUACAUAUAUAUAUAUAAACGAUCUAGGAAGGAAAAUUUACCAUCAUUAAAACGUGUUAUUCAUUAAUCAUAAAAAGAAGAAGAAAAAAAUGUCUUUCUGCUUUUGUCCCUUGAUCAACUUGGCGAAUAUGUUUUAUAUUGGAAGGUAUUGGGUCUACAUCAAUCUAAUAGUUCAUUACACGCAAUAAAACUUAUUCAAAGCAUUGGAGAACAAAAGCUUAUUGAGCUUUUCAUACAAGAUUCGGAAAUCUUCCACGCAAAAUAUAUAAUUAAGGAGCGAAGGGGAGGUGACAAAUAUACAAAAGCUAUAAAAAUAACUUAUUGUAGUAAAGAUGGCAAAAUCUUUCUUGGGUUUAGGGUCCAUGGGGCACCACUUUAAAUAGAGUGAAUUUUAAAUAAUUUUUAAAAAAUGAGGUGGAGAAUAAGUGAAAAAUAAUCCCGAAUUUUUUAAUGGACUAGAUUUUGAUUUUGUACUCCCCAUCAAACCCUCAACCAAUCAUCGUUAUAUGUAAACAUUUUUAAUUUUUAUUUUAUCAAUUACAAUGUUGAUUAAUAAAUUUUUAUUUUCAUUUUUACGUAAUAUAAAUAGAUUAUAAUUAAAACAAAACCCUAUAAUAUAAUUCUUAUUCAACCUUAAAAUAUUGGUUCAUUUAUAACAAAAUUAUAAACCUUUGAUCAUAGGCUAUAUGAAUGUGAUAAAUAGAAGAUGAAAUUGUUAUCAAAGAAGGAUUUAAAGCAUUGAUAUACAUUUUUAUGUUUUUAAGACUCUCUAAUCAAUAGAUUACAUUUACAUAUUGAAUAUUGCCAUCUCAAAAUCUCAAUAUUGCUUCAAGAGAAGUGAGUGCAUUCCCCCUCUUUAAAACAAAAACAAAAGGCAAUUGUUAAAUUGGACAGUCUUCAACUUAAGAGUAAUGUAAGUGGAAUUUGCAUCCUCUAAGAAUUACACGUGUAAGAGAUUUUGAAUUACACUAUCAACUCGUAAUCGAAAAUAAAUUACAAUAUCAACCCAUGUUAUUAUAUUAUUACAAAUGUGUGUUAAGUCUCUCAAAAUUGGGUGUGUUGAAUAAUUUUAUUAGUGUUUCAAACAAAUAAAGUUAAUUAAUUCAGAUAGUUUGCGUGAGGUUUUUUUUAGAAUUUUAAAUAAUGUACAUACUAAAAGUUAAUUUUUUAAAUUAAUAAUAAGUGCACGGAGUAAUUAUGUUGAAAGUAAUUUUUACAGUGUAAAUAGCCUCACCCAAGUGAAAAUGAUGCCAUGUUCGAUUUAGAGUGAAACUCUAAAACUUCACUUUUAUGGGCAAAUGAAAAGUUGGCAAAUACGUUCAGUGUAGGUUGAUUACCAAAAUAUAUAAUAAGAGGUAAAAGAUUAAAAUUUCUCUUAUAAAUUAGUGAAAACAAAUUUUAAAAUAUAUAUUAAAUUAGGGCUUGUAAGAUUUGGAUUAAGAUUAUACAGGAUGCAAAAGUUAAAGAAUAAAAUUUAUAUGAAAAUUUACUUAGGUCUCGCAUUUAUGUCUGUAGUUUUAAAUGACAUGAUAGGUCAAUUAAAAUAGUUUUAAAGUCUUAAAAUCUUGCACCAUUCUUAUUGAAGCCAGCGGCGGACCUACAGCUGGGCUAGUCCGGGCUGUAGCCCGGUCUAGUCCAGAAACAAUCAUUUAGGCCCCCUAUUUUUUGAUUAAUUUUAUAUAAGAAAAGAGUUUUUACUUUAUUUUUAUAUAAGUCCCUAAUUCAGUUACCUUUAUAUUUUUAUCAAAUUUCAUAAAAUAAUAGAGUUUUUACUUUAUUUUUAAAUAUGUCCCUAAUUCAUUUAUUUUUUUUUUCCAACUGAAAUUAAUGAUAAAAUGAUAAAAUUAUAUAUUUAUUGAAUAGAUUGAAAACAUUAAGGGGUCUAAAAUGUUAUUACUAGUUUAAUUUAUUUUUAAAUUUUUAAUUUAAUUUGUUUUCAAAAAUUUUAAUUUUAAAAAGUAUAUCAUAAUAUAAUAUUGUCACUAGUAUUAAAAAUACUAAAAAUAUAUAUAAUAAAAAUUAUUAACAAUUUCAUAAAUUUUUUAUGUGAAUGUUGAGAUUUUAUUUAUUAGUUAUAUUAACUAAGAGGAUAAGGGAUAUUUUUUCCUGCUGGAUUUCUCUUUCUUGAAUGCUCUCUUUCUCUCCGAAAGAGAACAAAAGAAUGGAGUAGAUUUUGAGCUUUAAUGGCUCUAUUUCUCACUCUUUGGACUGAGUGAUUAGUUCUGAUAUUUCUCAGAGAAUGGUAGUAGGGGAGUGCAUUUAUCAACGUGAAAGAUUGUCAAGAGUACUGGAAUCUCAGGGAAGUAAAUAGGUGGAGUUUAGUUGCGGUUCAAUAACAAUGGAUACAGAGGAGUUAAUACGGAAAUGCAAAGCUAUCUCCUGGACGAGACGGCCAUGAAAGAAAACUAUCGCUUAGAGGUGGAACUCAAGGGCAAGGAGGACGCAUAAUGGCAAACUCAUUAGUGGGCAAAGUUUUGCUGGCUCGAAGCAUACAUACAAAAGGAAUUAAAACCACCUUAGCACAAGCAUGGAGAACAAUAAAAGAGGUGAAAGUUGAAAGCUUGGGCAACAAUAUUUUCCUUUUUAAAUUUGGUCUGGAAACAGAUAAAAAAAAGGUGAUGGCAGGAGGACCUUGGCACUUUGACAGAUCUUUGAUUGUGUUAAAGGAACCUAGUGGGAUUGGAAAUAUGAGAAAGGAGGAAUUCACGCAUACAGCUUUCUGGGUGUAAAUUCAUAAUAUGCCUAUAGUAUGUAUGGAUCGGGAAAACGUUCAAAAACUGGGGGAGUUGAUAGGAGAGGUUAUGGAAGUGGAAACAGAUGAGGAUGGGGAAUGCAUUGGUUCAUAUGCGAGAGUCAGAAUUUCCAUCAACAUUACAAAACCAUUAGAAAAAAUGGUCUUCUUGGAGUUGGAUGAUAAUGAUGAGGUGGAAUUGCCGGUCUUGUACGAACGACUUCCAGACUUCUGCUUCUGUUGUGGUACUAUUGGGCAUCAGUUCAAAGAAUGUGCUUUAUAUGAAGGGCAAUCAAAAGAAAACCUGCCUUACGGGGUUUAUAUGCGGGCACUAUCAAAAGCAGAAAAAACCAGAAUAAACCGCAGUAGAGACAAAUGGAAUAGAAGGGGGGAGCAGUAAAACCAUGGCUUCACGGAGCUAGAGAGCCAGAGGAGAAGUCAGCCACAUCAGACUGGCCCGGAUCCAAAUGGAAACGAAUUCGGGUCAAAUAAACCAAAUCCGGGUGAGAAGGAAAGCCAAACAGAAAAUACAGGUGAGCAAUUAAUGCAAAUGAUGCUGGAACCAAGGAAGCAGUAUGACAAUAUGCAGAAGCAACCCAGCAUAGCUAUUGCUGCAAACAUAGCUGACAGCCCAAGUGGCUAUGGGAAACAGAGAGAAGAAGCGGGAAUUGAAAAUAGGGAGGGAGGCUGAGGAGGCUGAAAAUAGGGGGAACUUCUUAAAACUUCAAGGGAAAAAAGGACACAGAGACCCCCAACGUUUGAAUAAGGGAUGCAAAAUCUCUUAAUGUUUCAAAAAAGACACUCAGACCCCCAUUUGUUAACAGGAAUUAUAAUUUUAAAGUGUAAUUACCAUUAUACCCUUAUAGCAUAUUAAAAAAUAAUUGUUCAUUGUCCAAUUUAUUCCUAUAUUAUUAAUAAAAUUACGAAUAUAACUUCAUUACCCAAUUUUUCCAUUUAAUUUUUGUCAAAUUUUCUCUUCAAACUAAAUAAAUUUAAUCUAUUGCUCAAGAAUAAAAAUAAAUUAAAUUGAUUAUUAAUAUAAUAAAAAUAACAAUUCUCCGUAUGUCAAUCUAUUGGAUAUGUUAUUUAGUACAAUUAAGAUUUUGUAAUUAUUGUUGUAACCAAUUUUUUUUUUAUUUUGUUGAUUAUAUAAGUUUAAAUGGAGAAUUGUUAUUGAGAAUUGUUAUUUUUAUUAUAUUAGUAAUCAAUUUAAUUUAUUUUUGUUCUUGAGCAGUGGAUUAAAUUUAUUUAGUUUGAAGAGAAAAUUUGACAAAAAUUAAAUGAAAAAAUUGGAUAAUGAAGUUAUAUUCGUAAUUUUAUUAAUAAUAUAGGAAUAAAUCGAACAAUGAAUAAUUAUUUUUUAAUAUGCUAUAAGGGCAUAAUGAUAAUUAUAUUUUAAAAUUAUAAUUUCUGUUAACAAAUGGGGGUAUGAGUGUCUUUUUUAAAAUAUUAAAAAAUUUUGUGUCCUUUAUUCAAAUGUUGGGGGGUCUCUGUGUCCUUUCUCCAAACUUCAAUUUGCGACGACUAAUAGGGGCAAACGAACCGCGUUUUUCUUUCAUUCAUUUUAGCUUCGACUUUAUGUCACUAUGGACAGGCCUCAAUAAUUAAAGGUGAAGCAGAAAUUUUGAUAUUUUGCAGCAAUAAUUUCAUCCAUUCCUCUUUUUCAGUUAUUUCCUUUCCACGAAUGGCGUGAGCAAACAUAACAAGAUCAAGGCAGACAAAUACCAAGUCAUACAUGAUCUUGUUUUUCCAUCAGUGAUGGGAGAAGUCAUUAAAUGACAGAGCAGUGGGUCUUACGGUGGGAUCCCACAAAAAUUUAAUAUAAAUCGCACAAAUGGGGCGCACGUACUCUAUUAUUUGGCAUAGCUUUAGUGAGUAAUUGAGCUGGUAAAACUGGUCUACACAAGUCCUUUUCUUGCCCAUCAAAUCGUGUUUUCCGUGAGUGGAAAGCUUUUAUGCAUGUUGGUUGUUAUUUGGUCAACAUCAAACACUUGGCAAUAAUGAGAUUAUAAAACAUUUUUAAACUAUUAAGGGAUAAGGAAAGCUUGGUGAGGUUAUGCAUGCAAGUUUCGGGAUGAUCUUUGAAUGAAUUUUCCACUAAAGGUAAGAAGCAAAGGAGACAAAUCCAAAUGCAAAUAAGAUAACUUUUGAUAAUUUUUUAAUCAUUGCAGAAUAUACAAUGUCGAAGUAAAUAAAGAAAUUUUGCUUAUAAGAUUAGGAUAAACCAAAUCUCUAAAAUAAAAAAAAUUAAAUAGCACGACUAUUUGUAAUUUAAUUAAGAUAAAUAUUAAUUUAAUUCUUUUUAUUUGAGUCAAUUAUGAAUUAUCCAAUUAAUUUGUUUUUAUAAAAUUAACCAUAACACUCAUAUUGUUAUCUUCUUAACUAUUGGAUUUAACUUUUCUAACAAUAAAAUAAUAUUUAUAUAUGAUAUAAUCUAAAAUUCAAACAAACCUGAUAUGUAGUAUGUAAAAACUAGAUGACUAACAAAUUUUAUUGGAAAUAGAUAUACAACAAGGAAUUCUUAAGUAAUUUUUAAAAAUAUUAGAAUAAUUAGAUACUUGGCUCAAAGUAAGGACUAUAGAAACUUUUAUCCUAUAAAUUUCAAGUAUAUCCAAUCAAAAGACUAACAUUGUACAACGAAUUAUUUAUUUUUCAUCAAAAAAAUUAUUUGAAGUUUUUGACUGGUCUUGAAUGAACCAAAUGAUCACUUAUUAUAGGUGGGUCUCGUAGAUGUGGGGUAAUUGUUAGGCUUUUCUAACUUUUGAAGAGCAAUGUUAGAGAUCCUAACUAUUGAGUCUCAAUUUGAGUCAAAAUUGGUGUAACAUUUAUCUAUUAAAAGAAUAAUUUUAUCAAUUAUAAAAUUCACUGUCCAAUAAAUAAUAUAUAACAACUAAGACUAUCAAGUUGUUAUUUAACUGUUGAAAUCCCUAACAUUAUUGAUUUUUAAUUCAAUUACCUAUUGAUUGAAUUAUUGGUUGCUUAUAACAUAAGAAUUUUAUCAGAAAUCUACUUGGAUUAAUCUAACUCAAUUGUCAAUUCUAUUGAACAGUUUAAAAAAUACUAAUUUAAAGAGACAUCAGCUCUACUCAUUUUGUGAGAGGGAUACCUAUUCCUACUCAAUAGUUAGAAAAAGAGGGAGUCCCAACACUAGACUAGGACUUGAUCCUGUGGACCUUAAUCUGGCGCCGAGCCGAGACCAUCUCAAUCUGAAACUAACGAAAUGAUUAAUUAUAAGUGGGCCUUGAGAGAGAUGGAGCAAUUAUAGGUUUAAAUAAUUUUUUAAUUCAAUCGUUUUUGGUUUGUUGAAUUAUUGGUUGUCACAGUAACAACAUUCAAGGGAUAGAAGUAACAAUGCUAUAAUUUUCGUUUGAUUUUAGUAUAAUGAUUUUAAAUUUUAUUGAUUGGGUGUCAUUAUUUUAUUCGUGUGUUAUAUACAUUCAUCAUACAAAGGAUUAAAAAAAAGGUCAUUUUUAACUGUUUCCUUUUUUAUUUAGAAAGACGGAAGAGGACAUGAUUAGUUUUACUCCAAUGAAAAUUAUCACAAAAUAUAAAUAAAAACAACCUAGUGAUGUAACUUAUUAAAAAAAGAAUAAUCAUGCAAAAAUAAAAUUAGAAACUUAUAAUUAAGGAGAUCAUGAGAGUCCUUGAGAACGAAAGGCAACCGAUAAUGAUAGGCUUACAAAAUUAAAAUAUAACGUCUGACUUAACUUUAUAGAGCACGUAAUGAUAAGUUAUUAACAUUUAUCACUAGUCCAAAUGGUGAAUUUGUAUUGGUGCUAAUUCAUUUGUCACAUGUUACUCUGGAUAGGCCUCGAUAAUCGACUGUAAAGCUGGGAUUUUGAUGAUUCUGUGGCGAGGAAAGCCUCCUUUCUCAAGUAUUUUCUUCCAUUCAAGCUCAGUCCUCUCCUUUCCACCCGACAAAUCAACCAUCAUUAGUAAAUCAAAUACCAACCGAGUCUCAUCGAAUAAUCCACUGCCAUCAGGUUGUAAAACAAUAUCGACAAUGAUCACUUUUCCGAUUUUCUCAGGUAUUGCUUUCCGGCAAUUCUUCAAAAUCUUGAUACAAGCUUCAUCCCCCCAAUCGUGCAGUAUCCACUGUAAAUAUAAUCAUUAAAAAUAAUCAAGGAUAAUGUAUUUGCACUAGUUAAUGCACACAAAAUCAUAUCAAGGUAAAUAUGCACACAAUUUGUAAAACGUGUAAAAGAUUACAAGAUUAAUUCUUAAUUAAAAAUAUAUUUCUUGAGAUGAUUGAUGAUCAUCUAAGAUCAAUAUUGUUAGAAAAAACUGGUAGUUAUGCAACCUUCAUGAAAACCGCAUCAGCAUUAGGAAUUGCAUCAAACAUGUCACCUCCGAUGUGUGAGACUCCUUCAUGCGUAGGCGCUGUGGCAAUCACGUGCUGCAAAUCAAAGUUUACACCUUUAAUGUGUGGAUAUGAUUUGACAAUCUCAGCAAGCGCUGUGCCAGUGCCACCACCCACAUCAACCAUUGAUCGUAUGUUAUUGAACCCAUCUACUUUAUAAUGUGAUACAAAAGCCUUCAUGGUGAUCUUGGUCGUGCAUGCCAUGGCCUCAUUGAACAAGUUGUUGAAUUGAGGGUUCUGCGAAGCAAAAUCCCAAAAUGUAGAGCCGUGAGCCUUCCUGAAAGGAAUGCCACCUUUUUUCACACAUUGGCUAAGGUAAUGCCAUGGUGCCAGUAACCAUUGAUUGUUUUGUACUAGAAUCAUUGGAGCAAGACUUAGCUCUGAGUCAUGUAGUAGCCAUUUUGAUAUGUGGGUCGUUCCGUACAUAGUCUCAUCACCGCCGUCUGAUGGAUGAUGUGCGGCAAAAAUUCCUUUGUACACAAGCAUUCUCAUGAUGCGUGCAAGGUGGGAAAUAUCCGGACAGGACGAGUCAAUUCCUGACAUAAUAAAGAUAAAAAUAAAUAAAUUAAUACGCCGUAAAUAUGAGGCCAACAAACUAAACUAUCGCUUUUAUCCAACAAAAGAGAAAGAGAGUCAGUACUUGAGGCUAACUGGGACAAAGUGAUUGGACAGCCAUGUGAGUGCAUAAUAUCAGCUAAGCGAAGUUCCACAGCGGAUUUUAAUGCCAUAGAGUAUGUAAAGGCGAACAUGAAUUGCCAUACUUCAGCUUGCCCUCUUAGUAGUUCCUCGUGAACAUCCAUUGAUUUGCCCUCUCUCUUUCUUCAAGCUAGAGUUUGCUUUGCAUAUAUAUUAAAAGGAUCGAUAUUUAUAGCCAAAACCUGCUUUGUCUUUUUUUAUUUUAUUUUAUUUUAUUUCAAAAGAAACUCUAUGAUGAAAUCGUAUCAACUCUAUUGUGCUUAUCUUUCAUUAGCGCAAAUGGAAAUUUCACUUAUAAAAUUACAAGCCUCUAUCUUUUUUUUUUUUUUGAUUAAAAAGCCUCUAUCUUUUUAUUUGUCUCUAUUCUAUCGGAUUUCAGCAAAAUUUACAAAAUCUUUGUCCCUCAAAUUAGGUUUUCCAUAAAUGGAAAGCUUAUAAUAUAUGCUGGUUGUUAUUUGGUCAACAUCAAACAAUUAAAAUUAAAUAAGAAUAUUUUUAAAGCUACAGAGCUGACAUGAGAACUAAACUCCAACAAAAUUUCAACAAUAAAACAUUCAAAACGACAUCAUUUUGGGUUUAGAUUAAUUUUUUGAAAUUCUCCUUAAAUAAAGUAGUUUUGAAUAUGCUAUUGUCAGUAGUUCUCCAAUCAUUUUUCUUUUGAGUAAAUUUUCGAUUAUUGCUUCGUGAAUUGGUUAUCUUAAAAAAUACUCUUUUAUUUUUACAAAGUUUAAGUUAUAUAUCUUUUUUUUUUUUUUUUUUGCAAAAGUAAGGGAAAAAAUGGAGGUAAGUUGAUGAUUUUUUUUAAAACAAAAGUGGAGGAUAAAUUGAAGUUUUAAAAAAUAAGGAGGACUAUUUGAAAAUAGUCAAUUUGUGAGAAGAUAAUAUGAAAUUAAACUUUUCUUUUAAAUGGAGAGAAAAAAAAAAGCUUGGUAUGCUUAUGUAUGCAAGAUUCGCCAAGAUCUUCUAAUAAAAUUUUCCAUUUAAGAAGGAGACAAAUAAAGAGCAAAAUGUUUUAUUCAUUGAUUAUCAUCCAUUGAUUUGCCCUCUCUCUUUCUUCAAGUUAGAGUUUCUUUUGCAUAUAUAUUAAAAGGAUCGAUAUUUAUAGCCAAAACCUGCAUUGCCUUUUCUUUUAAAAUAUUUCAAAAGAAACUCUAUGAUGAAAUCGUAUCAACUCUAUUGUGCAUAUCUUUCAUGAGCGUAAAUGGAAAUUUCACUUAUAAAAUUACAAGCCCCUAUCCUUUUUUAUUUGUCACUAUUCUAUUCAUCCAUUGAUUUGCCCUCUCUCUUUCUUCAAGUUAGAGUUUCUUUUGCAUAUAUAUUAAAAGGAUCGAUAUUUAUAGCCAAAACCUGCAUUGCCUUUUCUUUUAAAAUAUUUCAAAAGAAACUCUAUGAUGAAAUCGUAUCAACUCUAUUGUGCAUAUCUUUCAUGAGCGUAAAUGGAAAUUUCACUUAUAAAAUUACAAGCCUCUAUCCUUUUUUAUUUGUCCCUAUCCUACUGGAUUUCAGCAAAAUUUACAAAAUCUUUGUCCCUCAAAUUAGGUUUUCCAUAAAUGUAAAGCUUAUAAUAUAUACUGGUUGUUAUUUGGUCAACAUCAAACAAUUAAAAUUAAAUAAAAAUAUUUUUAAAGCUAGAGCGCUGACAUGAGAACUAAGCUCCAACAAAAUUUCAACAAUAAAACAUUCAAAGCGACAUCGUUUUGGUUUUAGAUUAAUUUUUUGAAAUUCACCUUAAAUAAAGUAGUUUUGAAUAUGCUAUUGUCAGUAGUUCUCCAAUCAUUUUUCUUUUGAGUAAAUUUUCGAUUAUUGUUUCGUGAUUUGGUUAUCUUCAAAAAUACACUUUUAUUUUAAAAACUUUUAAGUUAUAUAUCCUUUUUUUUUUUGGCAAAAGUAAGGGGAAAAAUGGAGGUAAGUUGAUUUUUUUUUAAUAAAAGUGGAGGAUAAAUUGAAGUUUUUAAAAAUAAGGAGGACUAUUUGAAAAUAGUCAAUUCGUAAGAAGAUAAUAUAAAAUUAACCUUUUCUUUUAAAUGGAGAGAAAGAAAAAAAAGGGCUUGGCAUGCUUAUGUAUGCAAGAUUCGCCAAGAUCUUCUAAUAAAAUUUUCCAAUAAAGAUAAGAAGUAAGGAGUCAAAUAAAGAGCAAAAUAUUUUAUUCAUUGAUUAAUUAGUCAAUACUUCCUUUUAAUGUCACGAUUAUAUUAAUUAUUUACUUUAAAAUUUUAAUGUCAUGAUUAUAAGUUUGAUCACGCAAUUUGGUUGAAAAUUAAACAUCACCAACGUACAGGGGCAAGUGGGCUCUUUGCAGCGUACAUGACAAAUGCUAAAAUUAGGGAUGGCAAAAAUCCUCAUAGCGAUGGGGACCCUUGGGGAUUUUCUCUAUUCGGGGAGGGUAUGAGGACAAUUUGAUACCCAAUUUCUUAUUCGGGGAAGGGACGGAGAUAAUUUUUUACCCAGUUUCUUAUUCGGAGAAGGGAUGGGGAUGAAGUGAAAUCCCCAUCCCCUACCCAUUUCCCCAUUUCCUUAUAUUAAUUUUAAUUUUGAUUUUAUUUUUUAAAAUUAUUAAUAAAUGAAUAAUGAAAUUUAAAUUAUAUUAAAUAUUAGUAUAAAUAACAAAUAUCAAAAUAUUUAUACAAAUCUGCUAUAAAAAUUUCGAGCCUACUUAACUAGUUGUAGUCCUAAAUUACUAUUCGACCAGACCUUAUUCUAAAGACUUUGGCCCAAAACUGUUUUAGAUUAUGAGUCAUAUUGCUUAUAUUAUUUUUAUUGUUUUAGAUUUGAAACUUGAUGUUAUCUCUCAAUUUGUCACAUUUCUCAAGGAAGAACAUGAGGAGCAUGAGGUGCAAGAGUAAAUGUUUUUAUUAAAAAUAUUAAUUUUAGUAUCUAUACCCAUUUCAUUUAUUUCAUUAUUGAUAUAAAAACUAUUUCUUUUUAUUAUAGGAUUAUGAACAUUGAUGAAGAUAAUUAUUCUGAUGAUUUAUAUUUUGUAGUAUGAUUUUUGUAAUGGAUUAAUGUUAGUGUAAGAUUUAUUGUCAAACCUUACUUUUGUUUAAAUUUUUAUUUUAAUAUGAUUAAAUCAAGUUUAGAAUUUAAUUUUAAAAACGUAUUAGUUAUUCGGAGAUCGGGGACCCCUCGGGGAUCCCCUCUUAUUAUUCGGGGAGGGGACGGGGAUCUCCUCAAGCAAUUUUAAUGGGGGCAGGGAUAUAUGCAGAAUAUCAGGAAUAAGUGUGGGGAUGUCAGUCCCCUCCCCUCCCCAUUGCCAUCCCUAACUAAAAUUCAAAUAAGUUAUAAAGCAAAGGCUUCAAUGCAACUAAAUUAUAAGACAGACUCUCAAAUCCAACAUAUAAUUGAAUGACGACGGGAUUGACACAGGAGUGCUUUUAAAUUUAGUCCAAGAGACAAGCAUAACCCAAGAUUAUAACUCCACUUGUUCAAAUUGACUGUAUUUUUCUAAAAGUAAUUAAAUUAUGUAUUAUAUAUCGUUAGAAAGAUAAAAAUGUCUAGUUUUUGAAGAAUUUAUGGAAUCAAUUUAAUUAACAACCUUUGUAUUACUUGAAAGCUCUGUGAGUCAAGAUUUUAAUAAAUUUUAUGGUAUUCAAUUUGAAGUUUUCUACAUCAAGAUAUGACUAAAUGAGUGUUGACCGCUCAGAUUUGUUGUUGAACUGACCAUGAAGUCAAAUCGCACUUUCCUUUGUUUUCUUCCACCUCAUUACAGUUAAGACCUUUAAUUCAAGUUUGAUUUGAAUUCUCAAUGAUAGAGAUCUUGUUCUAAACUUGGAGGGAUUCUUCCAAGUUGCCUAUAUAAAUGUAUUAGUUUGUAACUUUAGAGGAAAGGUGGUCAUUUUGAGAAUGUAACUUAGAAGAGAGCUCUUGUUGGAGUUUCUUCUUACAACUCUAUAUCUCUUGGGUAGAUAUAGAGUGGUAAGAGAUAUAGAGUGGUGAAUUGAUAAAUCUUGUAUCCAGGGGUGGCUUUAGGUAUAGGCGAACAAGGCGGUCGCCUAAGGCCCCAUAUUUUGUGAAGGCCUCAUUUUUUGAAUUUUUUUUAAUAAUUCUCAUUUUUUUAAAUUACGUAUUUUAGGAAAUCAAAAAGCUUAUUAACAUCUCUCUAAUUAUUAAUUAUCAUAUAGUUAAGAAUUAUUUUUUAUGAAAAAACUAUAUUUGAUAACAUUAAUGUUAAAUAGAUAUAACUAAUAAUAUUAUUUAAUCAUUAAUUCAUUCAUUAUUAGUCUUUCCAAAAAAAAUUAAAUUAGUUAUCUUUUCAAUUUCCUCAAAAAAAUUAAUUAUUUAAUGUUAGAAUAUUUGACUUUUAGUAUUUCUUUUAAUUUCCAUUAAAAAAUUUGUAAUCUAAAAAAUCAGUAAAUGAAAAAAUUUCUUCCUCACUUCUCUAGAAAGAAAAAUAUUAUAUUCAUUGGUUCAUUUAAAAAAAAUCAAUUUAUAGAAAUACAAAGUCCAUUUCUAUUAUCUGAUCAUUAAUUCAUCAUCUCAACUUUUUAUGUUCUAUCAUUCGAAAUAUCCUAUUUGAAAAUAAUAUUAUUCGUAUUUAUUUGAUUGUUUAUUUUGUAAUAGUUUUAAUGGAAUAAAAAAAUAUCUUCUUAACUUUUUUUUUAGGUUUUAUUUUUAAAAUUCAAGAAUUACAAAUGAAAUAAAUUUUGAGCAUUUUUUUUUAUUUCUUUGAGUAUUGAAAUUGCAAAACAAAUAGAGGCCUCAUAAAAAAAUUUCGCCUAAGGCCCUAAACACUCUAAAGCCGGCCCUGCUUGUAUCUCUUGUAGGAUAUCAUUGGAUAGUAAAUAUUUGUAUCCUUUUGUAAACCUCUUGGGUGGUAUGCUUUGGUGAGUUAGAAAGCCGUGUAUCUCUUGUAGGACAUCAUUGGAUGGUGAAUUUUCUAUAUCUCAUUAUAAUCUCUAGUGUGGUGAGCUUUUGUUCUUGCCUUAUCUAUGUGUAUGUGUUUUAUUUAAUAAUAAAAGUAACAUGUAUCUUUAGUCCAAUGUCAAGAAUAAAUAAUGUUGAAUAAAAUAAAACAUCUUUUACUAUUAAGAAAAUAAUUGACAGAAAAUAAAUGAUUUCAUGAAAAAAUUUAAGGCUGUUUUGGUCCUCCAUCACCCCAAAAACGAACCCCUUAACAAUUUAUGGUUAAAAUCAGAGUAAUUUUGCACUUUACAGGACGGAUCAAUUUUUUAUUGAUUCAUAAAGUUAUUACUCCAUGAAAUUGUAUUUUGCAUGAGCUGAUUGAAUCCCUUCAAUAAAAAAACCUUUAUAUUGAAUUCUUUAUUUAGGAUCAAACCUUCAUCUUGUCUUUAUUUUUAUUGUUUUUUUUUUAAUUUCCACCAUUUUGAGUUAUCUUAUAUUUCUUUAACUUGCUGACAAUAGUUACAAGUUUAACAUGUUAACAACAUGGCAGGGCAUAAAGUUAAACAAACACUAACAAGCAGUAUGUAAGCGCAAUAUUAAUAUUGGAUUCUAUCUAAUAUUAAUGUUCAAACAAGCAUGCAUGCAUGCCUUGAAACAUAAAUAUUAUGCUCGCAAUUGCAUUAUUUCCCUGUCAAAAAAUACAAAAAGUGCCUUAACUUCGUCCAUAGAAUACUGAACUUUAUUUCACACAUUUUAUUAAUUAUUAUAAAUCAACUUAAAGUUUCAUUUCACUCUGGAUAGGCCUCGAUAAUAGAUUGUAAAGCUGGAAUUUUGAUGAUCUGGUAGCGAGGGAAGCCUCCUUCUUCCAAUAAGUUCUUCCACUCAAGCUCAGUCCUCUCUUUCCCGCCCGGCGUGUUAACCAUCAUAACUAAAUCAAAUGCAUAACCGGCGUCAUCAAACAGGCCUUGACCAUCAGGUUGUAAAACAACAUCAAUAAUGAUCACUUUUCCAGUUUUUUCCGGUAUUGCUUCCCGACAAUUCUUCAAAAUCUUUACGCAAGCCUCAUCGCUCCAAUUGUGGAGCACCCACUGAACAAUAUUAAUUGCAAUGAAUUAAUUAUAUAACAAAGUAAAAAUGUUCCAAAGUAUAUACGUACAUACAUAUAUACAUCUAUAGAUACAUGUUUGUGUAUAAUCAUUUUCAGGUGCGGGCGCCCUAUUUUUUUUUUUUAAUCCAGACACGUUCUUAAACUAUGCGGUUCAAGAGAGUUAAAAACUGUGUUUGCGUGGAAAAAAAAUGAAGGGUCCACACUAGAAAAAAACUAUAUAUAUAGAAAUUUUCCAAUCCAGGAUUUUAAAGUGCGGGAAAGUCCGGUAAAUCUUUAAAACCUUGCGGUUUUAGCAGAAAAAACUAUAUAUAUAUAUAUAUAUAUCAUUCUUAGAUGCGAGCGCCCUCAUUUUUUUUAAUGUGGACAUGUUAUUAAACUGUGUUGUUUUAUAGCAUUAAAAACUAAUUGUAUUAAACUACAAGGCUUAAUAGUGUGUCGCAUGAAAAAAAAUGAGGGCGUCCGCAUUAGAGAAAUAAUAUGUGCGCGUGCGUGUGUAAAUUCUCAUGUGUGGGUGCUCUCAUUUUUUUCAUAUGGACAUAAUAUUAAGCGUGAUGUCUUCAUAGUUAAAUUGAAUAUUGAUUGUCCGCAUGAAAAAAAAAAUAUAUCAAGGACUAUAUCUAUAUCAUAUAUAGUGAUGAUUUAGUCCGGAAUGAAUUGAAAAUGAUGUGAAUAUAUUUUUAUAUUAUUGUAAACUGUUUGACAAUAUUGUAAAAAAAUUAAUAACCUUCAAGAGAAGUGCAUCAGCGUUAGGAAUGGUGUGAAACAUGUCACCCGAAACAUGUGUGACUCCAUCAUAGACUGGCGCUGUGGUGAUGACAUGUGGCAAAUCAAAGUUGAUGCCUUUGAUGUGUGGAUAUGAUUUCACAAUCUCAGAUAUCAAACCUCCAAUCCCACCUGCCACAUCGACUAGUGAUUUCAACGAAUCAAAUCCAUGUUUAUAACUUGCUAAUAUUUCCCUUGUUAAGAACUUGGAAUUACAGGCCAUGCCCUCAUUGAAGAUGUUGUUGAACUGUUGAUCUUUCGAUGCUAAAUCGAUAACCACACCGCCAAAAGCCUUUUCAAUAGCACUACCGCCUUCUUUGACACACUGGCUCAUGAAAUGCCAAGAGUUGACUAUGUAUGGAUGGUUCUCCACUAAGUAAACGGACACCAGCUGGUUUGAAUCAGAGCCAGUGACAAGCCAUCUUGACGAGUGGGUCAGCCCGUAGAGAGGCUCUCCACCGUCUGAUGGAUGGUGUGCGGCGAAGAUGUUUUUACGGCCUAACAAUCUCAUGAUGCGUUCGAGGUAGGAGAUUUCAGGGGAGGGAGAGUCAAUGGAUGACAGUAUAUAUAUAUAUAUAUAUAUCAUUCUUAGAUGCGAGCGCCCUCAUUUUUUUUAAUGUGGACAUGUUAUUAAACUGUGUUGUUUUAUAGCAUUAAAAACUAAUUGUAUUAAACUACAAGGCUUAAUAGUGUGUCGCAUGAAAAAAAAUGAGGGCGUCCGCAUUAGAGAAAUAAUAUGUGCGCGUGCGUGUGUAAAUUCUCAUGUGUGGGUGCUCUCAUUUUUUUCAUAUGGACAUAAUAUUAAGCGUGAUGUCUUCAUAGUUAAAUUGAAUAUUGAUUGUCCGCAUGAAAAAAAAAAUAUAUCAAGGACUAUAUCUAUAUCAUAUAUAGUGAUGAUUUAGUCCGGAAUGAAUUGAAAAUGAUGUGAAUAUAUUUUUAUAUUAUUGUAAACUGUUUGACAAUAUUGUAAAAAAAUUAAUAACCUUCAAGAGAAGUGCAUCAGCGUUAGGAAUGGUGUGAAACAUGUCACCCGAAACAUGUGUGACUCCAUCAUAGACUGGCGCUGUGGUGAUGACAUGUGGCAAAUCAAAGUUGAUGCCUUUGAUGUGUGGAUAUGAUUUCACAAUCUCAGAUAUCAAACCUCCAAUCCCACCUGCCACAUCGACUAGUGAUUUCAACGAAUCAAAUCCAUGUUUAUAACUUGCUAAUAUUUCCCUUGUUAAGAACUUGGAAUUACAGGCCAUGCCCUCAUUGAAGAUGUUGUUGAACUGUUGAUCUUUCGAUGCUAAAUCGAUAACCACACCGCCAAAAGCCUUUUCAAUAGCACUACCGCCUUCUUUGACACACUGGCUCAUGAAAUGCCAAGAGUUGACUAUGUAUGGAUGGUUCUCCACUAAGUAAACGGACACCAGCUGGUUUGAAUCAGAGCCAGUGACAAGCCAUCUUGACGAGUGGGUCAGCCCGUAGAGAGGCUCUCCACCGUCUGAUGGAUGGUGUGCGGCGAAGAUGUUUUUACGGCCUAACAAUCUCAUGAUGCGUUCGAGGUAGGAGAUUUCAGGGGAGGGAGAGUCAAUGGAUGAAGCUAUUUGGGAUAAAGUGAUAGGGCCACCAUGAGAGUGAAUGAUGUCUGGGAUUCGAAGUUCAAUAGCACACUUCAAGGCCAGAGAAUCUAUAAAAGCAAACAUAUGUUUCCAUAUUUCUGCUUGGCCUCUUAGUGAUGCUUCACCUUCUACUGAUUCCAUUUCUAUCCUUUUGACUCUAUUUGGUGAAGAUAGAUAGGAGGAUUCAGAUUAAUAUAAGUGUGUGUGUCUGCAUAUAUAUAUAUAUAUAUAUGAACGAUCUAGGAAGGAAAAUUUACCAUCAUUAAAACGUGUAAUCCAUUAAUCAUAAAAAGAAGAAGAAAAAAAUGUCUUUCUGCUUUUGUCCCUUGAUCAACUUGGCGAAUAUGUUUAAUAUUGGAAGGUAUUGAGUCUACAUCAAUCUAAUAGUUUAUUACACGCAAUAAAACUUAUUCAAAGCAUUGGAGAACAAAAGCUUAUUGAGCUUUUCAUACAAGAUUCGAAAAUCUUCCAUGCAAAAUAUAUAAUUAAGGAGCCAAGGGGAGGGGACAAAUAUAUAAGAGCUAUAAAAAUAAUUUGUUGUAGUAAGGAUGGCAAAAUUUUUCAUGGGUUUAGUGCCCAUGGGGCUCCUCUCUCAAUAGAGUGAAUUUUAAAUAAGUUUUGAAAAAUGGGGUGGAGAAUAGGUGAAAAAUAAUCUCCAACUUAUUAAUGGGAUGAGUUUUGGUUUUGUACUCUCUACCAGACCCUCACCCAAUCCCCAUUAUAUGUAAACAUUUUUUUAAUUUUUAUUUUAUCAAUUACAAUAUUGGUUAAUAAUUUUUUUUUUUCAUUUUUACCUAAUAUAAAUAAGUUAUGCAAAUUCGACCUACAUUACUCUUAAGUUGAAGAUUGUCCAAUUUAGCAAUUGCCUUUUGUUUUUGUUUUAAAGAGGGGGAAUGCACUCACUUCUCUUGAAGCAAUAUUGAGAUGGCAAUAUUUAAUAUGUAAAUGUAAUCUAUUGAUUGGAUAGUCUUAAAAACAUAAAAAUGUAUAUCAAUGCUUCAAAUCCUUCUUUAUUAACAGUUUCAUCUUCUAUUUAUCACAUUCAUGUAGCCUAUGAUCAAAUUCUAUUAUAAAUAAACCAAUAUUUUAAGGUUGAAUCAAAAUUAUAUUGUAGGGUUUUUGAUGAAGAGUAGGAAUCCAUAUUAUACUAUGAUUAGUUUCCUUAUUAACUAAAGUUUAAGACUUUUAAAUUCCUUUCUAAUUUAGAAUUUUGUUUCCCUUUCAAUUUAGGAUUUUGUUUUUACUUCAUGAAUUAGGAUAAUUACUACUACUAUAAAUAGCUCCCUCUUGUAGCCUUUGAAGGUAGAAUUUUGAGUUCAAUAAUAUUUCAAUUUUUAAAUCUCUUUAUGAGUAUUUGAACAGUUAAUUCUCGGUAUUCUGAAUCAACGAGUCUUAACCCCUAAGUUCGCGGUAUUUUUUUGAAUCAACGUGAAUUUAGUUGUUCUUUUAUUCUGAUGUUCUCUAGAAUCAACGAAAUAUUUUGAACAUUAAACUUCCGUUGCAUCAGUUUGGUAUCAGAGCUAAAACCUAGUCUCACCAAUCUAACUCCAUUUACCACCAAACCUUUCCUUUUUUCCUUUUUUGUUUUCUUCCGUUUAGCAUCAUUAUUUUAAAAAAAAAAAAACCGAAACAGAACAGAAACAAAAGCUUCAGCCCGCGGCCACCGUCCAAGGCUGCCGGCUCUCGUUUUCCGUCAUCGAUCCAGACGCAACCACCACUAAACGGAUCAUAAAUCGCUGGCCAUCAAACCCCAAGCAUCUUCCACCGUUGGUUAACCACAGAUCGCCGGAAGCAAAGCCAAAACAGCCGCGAUCGCCGCCACCUCUGUUCACCACUUUCCGGCGCGAUUUGGCCAGAAGCACCACCAUCAGUCCAUUCCUCUCCAUCAACUGAACCUUUCCCACCAUUCCUCACCGUCGAUCGACGCUCAAACCACCGGAAACCGAAGCCCUCCAAAACCGCCGGCUUUAUCUAUAAUUUUCGGCCAAAACACCACUUUUUCGGACAAACCACCACCACCAUCAUACUUACCAACCCAAAAUCUUUCAGAUCCACCCAUUCUUACUCGAUUUCCGACCACCGUCAUCGGAAAUCUAAAACUUUUACUUAAUUACAGUUUCAGCCUAAAAUUUUUAUUUACUUUCAGUUUAGCCCCACUACCUUUUUAAACCCGAAUUUGAAAAAAUACCUCCAAGAAAAGCUCAUGAUGAUCAUACUGCAACUUACAAUCAAGAAGAUGUUUCUAAAGAUGAAGCCCUGGCUAGUAUGACAGCCAGAAUUGAUAUGUUAGCUGCACAAAUGGCACGAAUGGCAGAGUUACUUGACGAACGCCAUCGUACUCCAGAACGUGAAGACAAAUAAAGUGGAAGCUUUGCUAACCCAUUCUCUGGGCGUCGACCUAGAACUGAGUCUACUGAUGACAGAAGAUGGGAAUCUAGGUUGAGAAUUGACAUUCCCGAAUUUCAAGGAAGCGGUCGACCUGAAGAAUUAUUGGAUUGGAUUAAUGCUAUUGAGGAAGUUUUCGAAUACAAAGAAGUUCCUGAAAAUAAACUAGUUUCGCUUGCUGCAACUCGAUUUCGUGGAAGAGCAGCAGCUUGGUGGCAACAAACUAAGCUCACAAGGAUUAGCAAAGGCAAAAAGAAGAUUGAUUAUUGGGAAAAGUUCAAGAAGCACUUGCGUAGAGCAUUCUUGCCUCAUAAUUACGAGUUCAAGAAACACUUGCGUGGAGCAUUCUUGCCUCAUAAUUACGCCAAACUGUUAUACCAACAGCUACAGAAUUUAAGGCAAGGUAAUCGAUCAGUGGAUGAUUACACUACAGAAUUUCAUUGGUUGGUGGCACGCAAUGACUUGACAGAGACAGAAGAACAGCAGGUUUCCCGCUACAUUGGAGGCCUACGAUCUCAAUUUCAAGACCAAUUAAAUUUACUUGACCCAUACUCUGUUUCAGAGGCACACCAACAAGCCUUGCAGUUGGAGAAGCAAUCUAGUCGACGUACUAAUGACUCAAGCUUUCGGGGUGCUCGAAGUGUUGUUCGUGAUAAUUCAAACCCAACUUCCCAAUUUCGUAAUUUCACUCCUCCAAAUCCUCCAAAUAAAACUAGUAAGCCUAGUGAAAUCGGUCAAAGCAGCAAAACCCAAUCCUCGGGUUCGAGAUUACGCUGUUUUAAUUACGGAGAAAAUGGGCACCGCAUGACAGAAUGUAAAAAGGGAUGAAAAUAUGGUAAAGACUUAUUCGUAGGCACAGAGGAAAGCGAAGACUAUCAGGAGGAAGAAACUGAAGAGUUUGCUGUAGAGCCAACUUUUGAUAGUAUUGGUAGCGCUCAAUCUGUUGAAGAACAUGGUGAUAGUGGACCAAUGUUGAUCGUGAACCGUGCAUUCUUCACUCCUAAAGGUCAAGACAAAGACAAGUGGCUACGACAAAAUAUCUUUCAAACUACUUGCACAAUUGGGGGUAAAGUAUGUAGUAUGGUUAUAGACUCCGGCAGUUGCGAGAAUGUCAUUUUGGAAGAAGCCAUAACAAAGCUAAAUUUAAAGACAGAACCUCAUCAAACUCCAUAUAAGCUCACAUGGCUGAAGAAGGGAAAUCAAGUGACAGUAUCGAAACGUUGCUUAGUUUCCUUAUCCAUUGGUUCAAUUUAUAAAGACAAAAUUUGGUGUGAUGUUGUGGCUAUGGAUGCUUGUCAUCUAUUACUGGGUAGACCUUGGCAAUAUGAUCGAAACGUAGUGCAUGAUGGGAAGAGAAACACCUACAGCUUUAUGUUUAACAACACCAAGAUCGUUCUCCUACCUAACAAGGAGUUUACUCUCCAGCAAGACUUGGGUAAUUAUUUGUUAGGCAAGAAACAAUUUAUAGAUGUUGUAGCAGAGACAAAGAGAAUCUACAUUUUAUUGGGAAAAGAGAGUAACGGUAAUUCAAAGAUUCCUGAAGCUGUGACACAUAUUCUGGCGGAAUUUCAAGAUUUGUUCCCCAAUGAGCUACCACAGGGUUUACCACCUCUUCAAGAUAUACAACACCAAAUUGAUUUGGUACCAGGUUCUACAUUACUAAAUCGACCUCAUUAUCGUAUGAGUCCUACAGAACAUGAAGAAUUAAGGCGCCAAGUGGAAGAGUUACUAGAAAAGGGAUUUAUCCGUGAAAGUCUUAGUCCCUGUGCAGUCCCUGCUUUAUUGACUCNNNNNNNNNNNNNNNNNNNNNNNNNNNNNNNNNNNNNNNNNNNNNNNNNNNNNNNNNNNNNNNNNNNNNNNNNNNNNNNNNNNNNNNNNNNNNNNNNNNNNNNNNNNNNNNNNNNNNNNNNNNNNNNNNNNNNNNNNNNNNNNNNNNNNNNNNNNNNNNNNNNNNNNNNNNNNNNNNNNNNNNNNNNNNNNNNNNNNNNNNNNNNNNNNNNNNNNNNNNNNNNNNNNNNNNNNNNNNNNNNNNNNNNNNNNNNNNNNNNNNNNNNNNNNNNNNNNNNNNNNNNNNNNNNNNNNNNNNNNNNNNNNNNNNNNNNNNNNNAACUACUUUAUCCGCCACCAGAAGUUUCCAUGGAUUGGCCUUUUUUUACAGGCGAUUCAUUCCUCAUUUCAGUACUAUUAUGGCACCAAUCACGGAUUGCAUGAAAGAAGGACAAUUCUCUUGGACAGAGGCACGUACAGCAGCAUUCAAGAUUAUCAAAGAAAAGUUGAUUACUGCCCCAGUACUUGCCCUACCAGAUUUUUCGUUCACUUUUGAGGUACAUUGUGAUGCUUCUAAGGUCGGCAUUGGAGCUGUUCUUAGCCAACAGGGUAAGCCUAUAACUUAUUUAAGUGAGAAGUUGAAUGGAGCAAAGGCACACUACAGCACUUAUGACGUGGAAUUUUACGCAGUAGUCCAAGCGUUAAAACAUUGGCAACAUUAUCUAAUUCAUAAAGACUUUGUUUUAUACACUGACCAUGCCGCGUUAAAGUACCUCAAUAGUCAAGACAAGCUCUCUCACAGACAUGCCACGUGGACAGCAUUCCUUCAACAAUUUACCUUUGUGAUGAAGCAUACCUCUGGUGAAUCCAACCGGGCAGCAGAUGCACUUAGUCGACGAACUUCUUUAUUGACACAGAUGCAUAAUCAAGUUCUCGGAUUUGACACAUUUCGAGAGUUAUAUGCUUCUGAUCCUUACCUUGGAGGAUGUGCGUGGACAGUCGAGCUAUCAAUAAAAUUACAGUUCGAUAUCGUUUUCCAAUCCCUCGAUUAGAUGACUUGUUAGAUCAACUCAGUGGAGCAACAAUUUUUACCAAACUUGAUUUGAAAAGUGGCUACCAUCAAAUUCGAAUCCGGCGUGGAGAUGAAUGGAAAACAGCUUUUAAAAUUCGCGAAGGGUUAUACGAGUGGUUGGUAAUGCCGUUUGGCUUAUCCAAUGCUCCGAGUACUUUUAUGCGAGUCAUGAAUCAAGUUCUUCGCCCUUUCAUUGGAAAGUUUGUGGUUGUUUACUUCGAUGAUAUACUUAUAUAUAGCACCAGUCAAGAGUUACAUCUACAACAUUUGAGAGAAAUACUUUCAGCCUUAAGAGUAGCAAGUUUAUACACAGCAGUAAACAAGUGUAUUUUCUUGACAGAGAAAGUAUUAUUUUUGGGAUAUGUGGUAUCGAAGGAUGGUAUAUCUGUUGACCAAUCAAAAGUGGAUGCUAUUCGAGAUUGGCCUCAGCCAACUACUUUAUCCGCCACCAGAAGUUUCCAUGGAUUGGCAUCUUUUUAUAGGCGAUUCAUUCCUCAUUUCAGUACUAUUAUGGCACCAAUCACGGAUUGCAUGAAAGNNNNNNNNNNNNNNNNNNNNNNNNNNNNNNNNNNNNNNNNNNNNNNNNNNNNNNNNNNNNNNNNNNNNNNNNNNNNNNNNNNNNNNNNNNNNNNNNNNNNNNNNNNNNNNNNNNNNNNNNNNNNNNNNNNNNNNNNNNNNNNNNNNNNNNNNNNNNNNNNNNNNNNNNNNNNNNNNNNNNNNNNNNNNNNNNNNNNNNNNNNNNNNNNNNNNNNNNNNNNNNNNNNNNNNNNNNNNNNNNNNNNNNNNNNNNNNNNNNNNNNNNNNNNNNNNNNNNNNNNNNNNNNNNNNNNNNNNNNNNNNNNNNNNNNNNNNNNNNNNNNNNNNNNNNNNNNNNNNNNNNNNNNNNNNNNNNNNNNNNNNNNNNNNNNNNNNNNNNNNNNNNNNNNNNNNNNNNNNNNNNNNNNNNNNNNNNNNNNNNNNNNNNNNNNNNNNNNNNNNNNNNNNNNNNNNNNNNNNNNNNNNNNNNNNNNNNNNNNNNNNNNNNNNNNNNNNNNNNNNNNNNNNNNNNNNNNNNNNNNNNNNNNNNNNNNNNNNNNNNNNNNNNNNNNNNNNNNNNNNNNNNNNNNNNNNNNNNNNNNNNNNNNNNNNNNNNNNNNNNNNNNNNNNNNNNNNNNNNNNNNNNNNNNNNNNNNNNNNNNNNNNNNNNNNNNNNNNNNNNNNNNNNNNNNNNNNNNNNNNNNNNNNNNNNNNNNNNNNNNNNNNNNNNNNNNNNNNNNNNNNNNNNNNNNNNNNNNNNNNNNNNNNNNNNNNNNNNNNNNNNNNNNNNNNNNNNNNNNNNNNNNNNNNNNNNNNNNNNNNNNNNNNNNNNNNNNNNNNNNNNNNNNNNNNNNNNNNNNNNNNNNNNNNNNNNNNNNNNNNNNNNNNNNNNNNNNNNNNNNNNNNNNNNNNNNNNNNNNNNNNNNNNNNNNNNNNNNNNNNNNNNNNNNNNNNNNNNNNNNNNNNNNNNNNNNNNNNNNNNNNNNNNNNNNNNNNNNNNNNNNNNNNNNNNNNNNNNNNNNNNNNNNNNNNNNNNNNNNNNNNNNNNNNNNNNNNNNNNNNNNNNNNNNNNNNNNNNNNNNNNNNNNNNNNNNNNNNNNNNNNNNNNNNNNNNNNNNNNNNNNNNNNNNNNNNNNNNNNNNNNNNNNNNNNNNNNNNNNNNNNNNNNNNNNNNNNNNNNNNNNNNNNNNNNNNNNNNNNNNNNNNNNNNNNNNNNNNNNNNNNNNNNNNNNNNNNNNNNNNNNNNNNNNNNNNNNNNNNNNNNNNNNNNNNNNNNNNNNNNNNNNNNNNNNNNNNNCAUUCCUUCAACAAUUUACUUUUGUGGUGAAGCAUACCUCUGGUGAAUCCAACCGGGCAGCAGAUGCACUUAGUCGAUGAACUUCUUUAUUGACACAGAUGCAUAAUCAAGUUCUCGGAUUUGACACAUUUCGAGAGUUAUAUGCUUCUGAUCCUUACUUUGCUCCUAUAUUAGAAGACGUUGUUGCAAGGUUUCGCUCAGAUUAUCAUUUACAUGACGAAUUUCUUUUCAAGAGUAAUCAGUUGUGUGUUCCUGACUCAAGUUUGAGAUUGAAAAUCAUUUCAGAGUUACAUAACGAAGGGCACGUGGGUCGUGACAAAACUCUGGCUCUAAUCGCCAACAGUUAUUUUUGGCCUACUAUGAGGCGUGAAGUCUAUCACUAUGUCGAGACUUGUCGCAUUUGUCAAGUUUCCAAGGGCACAGCAACUAAUGCUGGGUUAUAUAUGCCGCUGCCGAUUCCAACACAACCUUGGGCAGACAUUAGCAUGGAUUUUGUUUUGGGAUUACCCCGCACUCAGAGGGGUAUGGAUUCAAUAUUUGUUGUUGUUGAUCGAUUCUCGAAAAUGGCUCACUUCAUUGCUUGCAAGAAGACUACAGACGCUUUGACUGUUGCUCGCCUAUUCUUCAAGGAAGUCUAUAGAUUGCACGGUUUACCAAGUUCUAUAGUAUCUGACCGGGAUACACGAUUUCUUAGCCAUUUUUGGAAGACAUUAUGGAAGUUGACUAACACUCGCCUGAAUUUUAGUAGUGCUUACCACCCACAAACAGAUGGUCAAACUGAAGUUGUCAACCGCUCUUUAGGAAACCAUCUACGUAGUCUAGUUGGUGAUAACUUGAAGAUGUGGGAUCAGAAGUUAUAUCAAGUCGAGUUUACUUAUAACCGUGCAGUUAAGCGUAGUACUGGUUUAAGCCCUUUUCAGGUGAAUUACGAAUAUAAUCCACGAGCUCCUAUCGACUUGGCUCCAAUUCCAGAUUUAGUUCGCAAAAGCGGUAAAGCAGAAGACUUUAUGGAGCAGCUUCAGCAGAUUCAUGAAACUACGCAAGAGUCUUUGAAGCAGACGACCGAAAGUUAUAAAAUUAUGGCAGACAAAAAACGUCGAGCUUUAGAAUUUCAAGUAGGAGAUCUUGUUUGGGCUAUCUUAACUAAAGAUAGAUUCUCAGUUGGUGAGUACAACAAGCUUUCUGAUAGGAAAAUCAGCCCUUUGGAGAUUAUAGAGAAGAUAAAUCCUAAUGCCUACAGAUUAAAGCUUCCUAGUCAUAUCCGCACCGCAGAUGUCUUUACUUUUAAAUUCCUUUCUAAUUUAGAAUUUUGUUUCCCUUUCAAUUUAGGAUUUUGUUUUUACUUCAUGAAUUAGGAUAAUUACUACUACUAUAAAUAGCUCCCUCUUGUAGCCUUUGAAGGUAUAAUUUUGAGUUCAAUAAUAUUUCAAUUUUCAAAUCUCUUUGUGAGUAUUUGAACAGUUAAUUCUCGGUAUUCUGAAUCAACGAGUCUUAACCCCUAAGUUCGCGGUAUUUUUUUGAAUCAACGUGAAUUUAGUUGUUCUUUUAUUCCGGUAUUCUCUAGAAUCAACGAAAUAUUUUGAACAUUAAACUUCCGCUGCAUCAGUUUUGUUUUAAUUUUGAGAGUUACACUUGCAAGAGAUUUUGAAUUACACUAUCAACUCAUAAUCGGAAAAAAAUUACAAUAUUAACCCAUGUUACUAUAUUAUUACAAAUGUGUGUUAAAUCUCUUAAAAUUGGGUGUGUUGAAUAAUUUUAUUAGUGUUUCAAGUAAAUAAAGUUAAUUAAUUCAAAUAGUUUGAGUGAGGUUUUUUUUAGAAUUUUAAAUAGUAUACAUAGUAAAAGUUAAUUUUUGAAAUUAAUAAUAAGUGCACAGAGUAAUUAUAUUAAAAGUAAUUUUUAGAGUGUAAAUAGCCCCACUCAAAUGAAAAUGAUGCCAUGUUCGAUUCAAAGUGAAACUCUAAAACUUCACUUUUAUGGACAAAUGAAAAGUUGGCAAAUAAGGUAGGUGUAGGUCGAUUGUUAAAAUAUAUAAUAAGAGGUAAAAGAUUAAAAAUUUGUCUUAUAAAUUAGUGAAAAAAAAUUUUAAAAUAUAUAUUAAAUUAGGGCUUGUAAGAUUUGGAUAGAGAUUAUACAGGGUGUAAAAGUUACUUAAAGAAUAAAAUUUAUAUGAAAAUUUACUUAGGUCUCGCAUUUAUGUCAUUUAAUAUAGCUUUAAAUGACAUGAUAGGUUAAUUAAAAUAGUUUUAAAGUCUUAAAAUCUAGCACCAUUCUUAUUGAAGCAUCAUCAAAAUCUAACAAGCGAACUAUAGGGCAAAGUAAACAGUAGAAAUUUCUGUAGUUGGAUGAUGAUCACAUGAUAGGUUCAGUGUGAAACUACUUAAAACUUUAUUUUGGGAGGACUAAUAUGGGUUUCAUUCAUUUUAGCUUCAAAUUUAUGUCACUGUAGAUAGGCCUCAGUAAUUGAAGGUAAAGCUGGCAUGUUAAUGAUUUUGCAACAAUGAUUUCAUCCAUUAGUCUUGUUCAGUUCUUUCCUUUCCACCAGUGGUGUGAGCAAACAUAACUCGAUCAAAUACCAAGCAAAAUACGUUCUUUCCUUUCUAUCAGUGGUAGGACCAGUCAUUAACAGUCUGCUAUUUAGUAAAGCAGUGGGUCUUAUUGUGGGAUCCCAUGUAAAUAAAUAGUGGAUCCCACAAUUAGAUGCACUUAUUUUACCAUUUAACUAAGCUUUUGUGGUUGAUUAAGGUGGUAGGACUGGUCUACAUAAGUUCGUGGAAAGCUUAUACAUACGUUGGUUGUUAUUUGGUCAACAUCAAACAAUUAGCACUAAUGAAAAUAUUAAACACUUUUAAACUAUAAAAGGAGAAGGAAAGCUUGGUUAGGUUAGGUAUGCAAGAUUCGGGAUGAUGUUUAAAUGAAGUUUCUAUUAAAGGUAAGAAGUAAAGGAGAAAAAUCCAAAUGCGAAUAAGAUAACUUUUGAUAAUUUUUUAAUCAUUACAUAAUAGACAAUGUCAAAGAAAAUGAAAAAAAAAAGUUUUGCUAAUAAGAGAUUAGGAUAAACCAAAUCUCUUAAAUUAAAAAAAUUAAAUAAUACAACUUGUUGUAGUUUAAUUAAAAGUAAAUAUUCAUUUAACUCUUAAUAUUUGAGUCAAUUAUUGAAUUAAUUCUUGUAUUUUUAAAAUUUAACCCUAUUGGAUUUAACCUUUUCAAGGGUAAAAUAAUAUUUACAUCUGAUACACCUAAAAUUCAAACAAAUCGAACAUACACUAUGUAAAAAGUAGAUGAUUAAGCAAAUUUUAUUCGAAAUAGAUAUUCAACGAUGAAUUUUUGAGUAAUUUUUACAAAUAUUAGUAUCAAACGAUAAAGACUAAAAAUCUUUUAUCCUAUAAAUAAUUUCAAGUGUAUUCAAUCAAAAGAUUGAUACUAUAUAAAGAAUUAUUUUUCACCAAACAUAUUAUUUGUAACUUUUGACGCUCUCAAUAUUGAACUAACCAAAUGAUAUCACUUAUUAUGUGUGGGUCUUGGACAAUGUGGAGCAGUUGUCUGACUUUUCUAAGUUUUGAAGAUCAAUGUUAGAGAUCCUAAUUGUUGAGUUCUAAUUGAGUCACAACUAGUAUAGUAUUUAGGGAUGGCAAUUUAACUUUGACUUGCCUUAGACUCGGACGAAUCUAGAUAAUCCGAGCGGGUUCAAUCUGUACCGGAUUAAAAUAAAUUUAGUAUCCAGAUACAAUUUUAUUGACCGUGACCUAUCUGGAUCCAGGUCUGAGUUUGGGUGAACCCAUAUAUCUACUCCAUCCGUAUUGUGGGAGAGAUUUAUUCUUACCCAAUAAUUAAGAAGAGAGGGAGCCCUACACAAGAUGGGACUUAAACCUGGACACCCAAUGCUAGGUGCCGAGCCAUAACCAUCUCAAUCUUAAAUUGACCAAAUGAUUAAUUAUAGGUCGGCCUUGAGAGCUAUGGGGCAAUUGUUGGCUUUAAUAAUUUUUUAAUUUAUUCGAUUUUGGUUAGUUGAACGUAGAGGUGGGUAAAUAAAAUGACCCGAUCUGAUCCGACCCAACCUGAUUUAAAUUUUCAGAUUCUGAUCGGAUGAUUCGGAUGUGGAUUGGGGGUCAAACCUGAUUGGGUUGGUUUUUCUAAAUCCGAUCAGAUUGUACUAAGAUUUGAUCAAACUUGAUAUGAUCCGACAAUUCGAUUGGAUUGCAAAGGAGAAAAAAUCCUAAAGAAACAUAACGUGAAAACCUAAUUUCUCAAAACCCAUAAACACAAACACACAAGCAUAAGCCGCCACUAGCUCACCAUUGUUCAAAACUCCAAUUCCAAAAGAACAACAUCAUCAGCAAAAUCAAACCAGCAAAUCGCACCAUCACUGUCUACUGUACCAAGCCGUGAGCCUCUAUUUUGAUUACACCAGCCACCACCAAGCACAACAAUCCGUGGUCGUGCCAAGCUGCCAAGUUCGCAGCCUCUCUCCACAACCAAAAUUGCAUUUUCCGGUGAAGCCAUUUAUAGGUGAUGCUAGUAAUAUUGAGUUGUGGAAGUUAGUUAAUUUUUUUAAGGCUUGGGAUUGUUUUGUUGACACGAGGGAUGCUGUAAAGUCGUUUGAUAUUGGCGAAAUGUAUGGGAAGUUAAAGGAUUGUGAUUUUUAUUGUUAUUUUAAUUUGUUGAAAUAAUUGUUCAAUUUCGUGUGUUCAAAUUGGAAGUUUAAGAACUCAGAUAUAAAGUUCCUGUGAUUGUAAUCCAAUUUGUAUCUUAUGUUUUCAUUGAUUCCAACUUCAGUUGUCAAAUCAGGAUGUGAUUAAGAAAAAAAAAAGAAAUAUACAAUUCUCUCUACAGCCUUUGCUUAAAGACAAUACCAUCCGAAUCCAAUCCGAUCCAUACUCAAUCCGAAUUUUUUUAUUCGAUCCAGAUAUAUUCGUAUCGAAUUGGAACGGAUCACAUGUUCAAGUUGAAUUUGGAUGACUUUUUUCUCAAUCCGACCAACCCAAAACUCAAUCGGGUUGACCCGAACCUAAUUCGAACCCAAUUUUGUCCACCCCUACUUGAACUAUUGGUUUUCUUAGUAACAAGAUUUAAUGGAUUGAAGUAAUAAUGCUAAAUUAUAUAUUUUAUGAUUUUUGUUUGAUUUCAGUAUAAUGAUUUUAAAUUAUAUUGAUUGGGUUUCAUUAUUUUAUUCGUGUGUUAUACAUUCAUCAUAAAAAGAACCAAAAAAAUGUCUUUUUUAACCUUUUUUUUAACAUUUACAAAGAGAACAAGAUAAUUCUUACUCCAAAGCAAACUAUUACAAAAUACAGAUAAAAAUAUCUGAGACAUAAAGAAAAGAAAAAUACUCAUGCAAAAACAAAAUUACUUCAAUUACUAAAAUUUAUAAUUAACGAGACCACAAAAGUGGUUGAUAACAAAAGGCAACCAAUAAUGACAUGCUUACAAUAUUAGAAUACAAGUUUGUAUCCUAAUUGAUAUACCUUUAUUUUAUAGGACCAUGUAAUGAUUACUUAUUAACAUUUAUCGUUUCUUAUCCAAAUGGUGAAUCUGUAAUCGUGCCACAUCAGGAAUUUCAUUUUGUUGCAGACGCACGAGUUGAGCAAUUACUAAUAUUCCGGUAACUGCGACUUUUGGAGAAAUAUGAAUGUUGUGAUAAACAAGUGCAAAAAAAAAAAAGACACAAUAGUUUACAUGAUUCGGCGUAAUACCUACAUCCACGGGCAAAAAAAAAAAAAGGAAGAUAAUUUACUAACAAAUUAAAUUUACAAAAUUUGGGAAAAACUCUCAACACCCAAAACUCUAAUACACCCAAAUGGAACCUCACUAGAACUUUCAAGUGAAAGCUCUCUCAAUACUCUCAAAUUACUUCACUUACAAUUGCUCUCAACUCUCUCAAUUUGAGAUGCAUUCAAAUGAACAAAUGGCUUGGUAUUUAUAGCCAAAGAUCAUGCAUGCAUUUAAUUAUUGUUCCCAAAAGUCUUUAAAAAAUGGCAACCAAAAUCAACAAUUUUGAAAAAAUCGGUUGGCUUCUAAAAAACCAUCACAUUUUUCUCCAUGCAACUUCAAUAAAAACGUGCCACCAACUUUGCGUUUUGAAAAUGACAACCCAUUAUUUGACCUUUCAACACAUUUAUCACAUGUUACUCUGGAUAGGACUCGAUAAUGCACUGUAAAGCUGGGAUUUUGAUGAUUCUGUAGCGAGGAGAGCCUCCUUUCUCAGGAAUGUUCUUCCAUUCAAGCUCAGUCCUCUCCUUCCACAAUAUCAGCCAAGCGAAGCUGCACAGCGGACUUUAAUGCCAUGGAGUCUGUAAAGGCGAACACGAAUUGCCAUACUUCAGCUUGCCCUUUUAGUAAUUCCGCGUGAACUUCUAUUGAUCCCAUUCGGCCCUCUCUCUUUCUUCAAGCUAGAGUUUACUUUCUGCAUAUAUUAAAACUUACAAUACCAUUUUUUUAAAAACAAACUCUAUGAUAAAAUCGUAUCAACUCUAUUAUGCUUGUUUUUCACGAGCAUAAUUAGAAAUUUCACUCACAAAAUUACAAGUCUCUGUCCUUUUCUAUUUAUCUCUACUCCUCUUCAACAACAUUUUCAAAAUCUUUGACAAGAUCUUUGUCCCUCAAAUUAGAUUUUCCAUAGAUGGAAAGCUUAGAAUAUAUGUUGGUUGUUAUUUGGUCAACAUCAAACAAUUAGCAAUAAUGAAAUAUUUUUAAACCAGAGCACUGAUAUUGGAACUAAACCCCAACAAAAUCUUGACAAAAAUACAUUCCAAAUUGCCCUCAUGAGUUGACUAUAUUUUAAUUUUAUUUUUUAAAGUUCACCUAAAAUAACUGAAUGUGCUAUUGUCAGCCGUUCCCCAAUCAUUUUUCUUUUGUAUAAAUUUUGAAUUACUCAUGAGUUCACUAUAUUCAACUCGUCGCUUUACUAUUGAAAAUGUUAAGUUAUCUCAUUUUUUAAAAAAAUAAGGGGGUGGGUGAAUAAAUUUUUAUUGGUCCUUUUAAUAAAAGCGAGAGCAAAUUACAAUUUUUAAAAAUAAGAAAGACUAUUUAAAGAUAGUUCAUUCAUAAAAAAAUAAUCUAAAAAAAUUGAUAAGCUUACGUGUGCAAGAUUUGGGAAGAUCUUAAUGAAUUUUCCAAUAAAGGUAAGAAGUAAGAAGAUAGAUAAAAGGGCCAAUAUUCUAUUCCUUGACUAAUUAAUCAAUACUUUAAAACUUCAAUGUCAGGAUUGUAAGUUUGAUCACGCAACUUGAUUGAAAGUUAAAGUACAAAUAGGUUAUAAGACAGUGUCUCAAGUUCAAGACAUAAUUCAACCACGACAGAAUACAUGAUGUUGAAGGAAAUAAAAUAACUUUUACUAUUAAGAAAAUAAUUGACAGAAAAUAAACUAUUUUAUGAAAAAAAAUAACUCUGUUUUGGUCAUGCAUCGCCCCUAAAACGAACUCAUUAAAAUAUAUGGUUAAUUAAAAUCAGAGUAUUUUUACAUUUUAUAGGACUGAUCAAGUUUUUAUCGUUUCAUACGGGUAUUAGUCCGUGAAGUUGUAUUUUGUAUGAGCCAAUUGAAUCCCUUCACUCAGAAAACCUUUGUAUUGAAUUCUUUAUUUAGGAUCAAACCUUCAUCUACCAUUUUGAGUUAUCUUAUAUUUCCUCACUUGCUGACAAUUGUUACAAGAUUAACACGUUAAUGAUAAAGUUAAACAAUAAUAACAAGCAGCAUGUAUGAGCAAUAUUAUUAUUGGAUUCUAUCUAAUUAAUAUUAAUGUUCAAACAUGCGUGCAUAAUUUGAAACAGAAAUAUUAUGCUUGCAUAAUUUCCCUUUCAAAAAUGCAACCAGUGCCUUAACUUUGCCCAUAGAGUACUGAACUUUAUUUCACACCUAUUUUAUUAAUUAUUAUAUAGGCAUCGGUGUGAAUAUGGUUUAGCUAUCAACUUAAAGUUUCAUUUCACUCUGGAUAGGCCUCGAUAAUAGAUUGUAAAGCUGGAAUUUUGAUGAUCUGGUAGCGAGGGAAGCCUCCUUCUUCCAAUAAUUUCUUCCACUCAAGCUCAGUCCUCUCUUUCCCGCCCGCGGUGUUAACCAUCAUAACUAAAUCAAAUGCAUAACCGGCGUCAUCAAACAGGCCUUGACCAUCAGGUUGUAAAAUAACAUCAAUAAUUAUCACUUUUCCAGUUUUUUCCGGUAUUGCUUUCCGGCAAUUCUUCAAAAUCUUUACACAAGCCUCAUCGCUCCAAUUGUGGAGCACCCACUGAACAAUAUUAAUUGCAAUGAAUUAAUUAUAUAAUAAAGUAAAAGUAUUCCAGACUACAUAUAUAAAUAUAGUGGUGAUUUAGUUCAGGAUCCUGAACUUUGUUAAAGUUCAGGACAAGUUAACAAUUGGAUGAAUAGACUUCUACAUCUUUGUAAAUUGUUUGACAAUAUUGUAAAAGUAUAUUUACACUAUUGUCAACUUGUCACGUAUUUUAGUUUUAAAUUAUAAGUUUGGAUUGUAAAAUUUUCUUAUAUCUACAUAUAGAGUCUAUCUCUAGUACAGUCGCCCUCAUUUCUUUUUUCAUGCGAACACAUUUUUAAAUCAUGAGAUUUAAAAGAGUUAGUUUUGAACUCUUUUAAACCGCAUGCUUUAUAAUUUAUUCAAAAAUAAUUCUUUUAAAUCAGAUGAUUUAAGAAUGUGCCCAUAUUAAAAAGAAGGCAGGCGCUCAGUUACGUUUAACGUAAUAUAUAUAUAUAUAUAUAUAUUAGUUACCUUCAAGAGAAGUGCGUCAGCAUUAGGAAUGGUGUGAAACAUGUCACCCGAAACAUGUGUGACCCCAUCAUAGACCGGUGCUGUGGUGAUGACAUGUGGUAAAUCAAAGUUGAUGCCUUUGAUGUGUGGAUAUGAUUUCACAAUCUCAGAUAUCAAACCUCCAAUCCCACCUGCCACAUCGACCAAUGAUUUCAAUGAAUCAAACCCAUGUUUAUAACCUGCUAAUAUUUCCCUUGUUAAGAUCUUGGAAUUACAAGCCAUGCCCUCAUUGAAGAUUUUGUUGAACUGUUGAUCUUUCGAUGCUAAAUCGAUAUAUGCAUCGCCAAAAGCCUUUUCAAUUGCACUACCACCUUCUUUGACACACUGGCUCAGGAAAUGCCAAGAGUUGACUAUGUAUGGAUGGUUCUCCACUAAGAAAACGGGUCCCAACUGGUUUGAAUCAGAGCCAGUGACAAGCCAUCUUGACGAGUGGGUCAGCCCGUAGAGGGGCUCUCCACCGUCUGAUGGAUGUUGUGCGGCGAAGAUGUUUUUAUGGCCUAAAAGUCUCAUGAUGCGUUCGAUGUAGGAUAUUUCAGGGGAGCAGGGAGAGUCAAUGGAUGAAGCUAUUUGGGAUGAAGUAAUCGGGCCGCCAUGAGAGUGAAUAAUGUCAGGGAUUCGAAGCUCAAUAGCACACUUCAAGGCCAGAGAAUCUAUGAAAGCAAACAUGUGUUUCCAUAUUUCUGCUUGGCCUCUUAGUGAUGCUUCACCUUCCACUGAUUCCAUUUCUAUCUUUGUCACUCUAUUUGGUGAAGACAGAAGGAAGAUUUACAGUAAUAUAUAUUGUUAGGAAAUUCAUAGUUUCUUCCUAAGAUCUCCACAAGCAUUAUGCAAAGUAAAUAAUAAUAUAAAAUGUUAAAUAGAGAAUAAUACUAACCACAUAAUAUAUGAUUCAUAUAAAAAACUCUAAUUAAAAAAAACCACGGUCAUUAGUAUAAGAUUUACCUGAAAAACUAUAAAUUAAAAAAAAACGGCGUCAUUAUUAAAAGACAACUAGAGUAAAAUUUACUAUGAAGAAAAUUGGUACCACUAUACUCACUGUAAUUUUUCUAGCUCGACUUACACUCAAUGACAGCAUUUCAACAAAGAAACACUUUUUUACCCAAGUUUACAAUUGUUCAUAUUGCCGGAACCAAGUGCUUCCAUAAUAUUAAUUUCAUUCUUAAGAAUAUUUCUCUCUAUUUUGAAAGCUCUGAAUGCUUCUCUUGCAUUCACAAAAUAAAUGCUCUCAAUUGGGAUACAUAGUUCUGGAGAAAGCCCUCCUUUUAUAGCCAAAUAGUGGCUUCAUAAAUCAAUAAUUUCGACUUAAACAUUGAGAGAUUGCGACAACAAAACGAAACACGCGAGGUAGCUGUUGAAAAAUCAAACUUUGCUUUGUGGGCACCGAAUUCAAUGCCCAUGAAAGUUGAUUUUUUUUUUUUCAAAAUUCAAUUUGCCAAGCAUUUUUAAACCAGAGCACUGAUAUUGGAACUAAACCCCAACAAAAUCUUGACAAAAAUACAUUCCAAAUUGCCCUCAUGAGUUGACUAUAUUUUAAUUUUAUUUUUUAAAGUUCACCUAAAAUAACUGAAUGUGCUAUUGUCAGCCGUUCCCCAAUCAUUUUUCUUUUGUAUAAAUUUUGAAUUACUCAUGAGUUCACUAUAUUCAACUCGUCGCUUUACUAUUGAAAAUGUUAAGUUAUCUCAUUUUUUAAAAAAAUAAGGGGGUGGGUGAAUAAAUUUUUAUUGGUCCUUUUAAUAAAAGCGAGAGCAAAUUACAAUUUUUAAAAAUAAGAAAGACUAUUUAAAGAUAGUUCAUUCAUAAAAAAAUAAUCUAAAAAAAUUGAUAAGCUUACGUGUGCAAGAUUUGGGAAGAUCUUAAUGAAUUUUCCAAUAAAGGUAAGAAGUAAGAAGAUAGAUAAAAGGGCCAAUAUUCUAUUCCUUGACUAAUUAAUCAAUACUUUAAAACUUCAAUGUCAGGAUUGUAAGUUUGAUCACGCAACUUGAUUGAAAGUUAAAGUACAAAUAGGUUAUAAGACAGUGUCUCAAGUUCAAGACAUAAUUCAACCACGACAGAAUACAUGAUGUUGAAGGAAAUAAAAUAACUUUUACUAUUAAGAAAAUAAUUGACAGAAAAUAAACUAUUUUAUGAAAAAAAAUAACUCUGUUUUGGUCAUGCAUCGCCCCUAAAACGAACUCAUUAAAAUAUAUGGUUAAUUAAAAUCAGAGUAUUUUUACAUUUUAUAGGACUGAUCAAGUUUUUAUCGUUUCAUACGGGUAUUAGUCCGUGAAGUUGUAUUUUGUAUGAGCCAAUUGAAUCCCUUCACUCAGAAAACCUUUGUAUUGAAUUCUUUAUUUAGGAUCAAACCUUCAUCUACCAUUUUGAGUUAUCUUAUAUUUCCUCACUUGCUGACAAUUGUUACAAGAUUAACACGUUAAUGAUAAAGUUAAACAAUAAUAACAAGCAGCAUGUAUGAGCAAUAUUAUUAUUGGAUUCUAUCUAAUUAAUAUUAAUGUUCAAACAUGCGUGCAUAAUUUGAAACAGAAAUAUUAUGCUUGCAUAAUUUCCCUUUCAAAAAUGCAACCAGUGCCUUAACUUUGCCCAUAGAGUACUGAACUUUAUUUCACACCUAUUUUAUUAAUUAUUAUAUAGGCAUCGGUGUGAAUAUGGUUUAGCUAUCAACUUAAAGUUUCAUUUCACUCUGGAUAGGCCUCGAUAAUAGAUUGUAAAGCUGGAAUUUUGAUGAUCUGGUAGCGAGGGAAGCCUCCUUCUUCCAAUAAUUUCUUCCACUCAAGCUCAGUCCUCUCUUUCCCGCCCGCGGUGUUAACCAUCAUAACUAAAUCAAAUGCAUAACCGGCGUCAUCAAACAGGCCUUGACCAUCAGGUUGUAAAAUAACAUCAAUAAUUAUCACUUUUCCAGUUUUUUCCGGUAUUGCUUUCCGGCAAUUCUUCAAAAUCUUUACACAAGCCUCAUCGCUCCAAUUGUGGAGCACCCACUGAACAAUAUUAAUUGCAAUGAAUUAAUUAUAUAAUAAAGUAAAAGUAUUCCAGACUACAUAUAUAAAUAUAGUGGUGAUUUAGUUCAGGAUCCUGAACUU